UGAAUCCUUUUGAAGGGACAGUUCAGCAGUGUUCAUUCACACUGGUGUGCAGCCGAUCUCCAGAACUGUUUUCAUCUUGCAGAGACUUUAUAUUCAUUAAACAACAACUCCUCAUUCCCCGAUCCGCCCCCCAGCCCCUGGCAACCACUAUUCUACUGUCUCUAUGAAUUUAACUACUCUACUCUGGAUACCGCAUAUAAGUGGAAUCAUACAGUACUUUCCUUCAGUUGUAACACAUGUAUCACACUAGUGCAGGAUGUGAAUGAUUAAGGAGGGCGUGUUAGGGUGUAGGGAAUUAGUGUACAGAGUCCCCAUUAGAGUAGACCGGCACUUUCUGUACUUUCCGCGACAUAUUUUUUUUCUGUAAAUCUAAAGCUGUUUUUUUUAAAAGGCUGUUAAUUUCUUUUUAAAGGAUAACAGAUGCCAAUCAGGCAAAAACCACAGGUGUCCAUUAUAUGAGUCCUUUGCGGCAGCAGGUGUCCAUUCUAAAAAUAGUUUGCACGUCUGGGGGUGAUUACGGAGACUGGAAGGGAUAAUGAAGGUGUGUGCCCUUUGCAGCCUCAAGUAUCUGAGACCAAGGUCAUUCACGAUGCCUGGGCACACGGUUUCUCUCUCCCUGUGAUGUCGUUCUCGAGACCGCUCCUAUGACUGCUGCUGCGGAGACACGGAGCCAAUCCAGAGCGGACUGCCAGUGACGACACCAGUCGCCAAGGCCUCCAAGGGCCCAGAACAUAGUGGCGCCCUCUGGCGGGGAAAGGGAGGCAGUAUGUGAGAGACAGCCAAUCUGGUCAGCUGACUUCGGCCAAGUUCCAGUGCCUGGUGCAACACCCCCUGGCAACUCAAGUCACUUUCCAUCUCCAGAAACCCGACCAGAAGAGAGACAUGCUGAGAGGAAGCAAAGAUCAAGAAUCCUGGCAUCCAAUCAGAUACAGGAAUUAACGCAACAGCCGUCCAAUCAGAUGAGCGGAUCCAACCAAAUAGAGCAGCGUGAGGCGCGAUAAAAGGCGGGAAAAGCCUGAGGCGAAGCGUGAGGUGAGACGACCAGGUGGACCAGGGGGACGACCGGGUUGACUGACGGACCCAUGGAC
rnacentral:lncRNA from 1 species